rnacentral:lncRNA from 1 species
GUCCAAUAGUUCCAGAAAUCCUUGUGAACAUUACAACAUAGGUCCAAGUCUUUUGAACUUUUUAAGUCUGAAUCUUCCUAUCUACAAUAUGGGAAUAAUACUCAUUGGAGAUUAUGAAAUGACACUCUCUUACAGUAAAGCCCUGGAUGAUGUUUUCUGUUCUGCUAACCUUUGCCUUUUGAUUGAAGACUUUAAUCUACUAACAUUUCAAGUGAGUACUAAUGAGGAAAUAAUUACUUCUGCCACUUUGCCACCUUUUUGACCAUGUUCCCCAUUG